rnacentral:rRNA from 1 species
CAAUAGCGUAUAUUAAAGUUGUUGCAGUUAAAAAGCUCGUAGUUGGAUUUGUGGCGUACGGUGCGUUCCGGGCACUUGUUGUCUGAGUAACCUGCUGUUGCCAUCCUUGGGUGGAACCUGUGUGGCAUUAGGUUGUCGUGCAGGGGAUGCCCAUCAUUUACUGUGAAAAAAUUAGAGUGUUCAAAGCAGGCUUAUGCCGUUGAAUAUAUUAGCAUGGAAUAAUGAGAUAGGACUUUUUUACUAUUUUGUUGGUUUGCGCAAAGAGGUAAUGAUUAAUAGGGACAGUUGGGGGUAUUCGUAUUCCAUUGUCAGAGGUGAAAUUCUUGGAUUUUUGGAAGACGAACUACUGCGAAAGCAUUUACCAAGGAUGUUUUCAUUAA